UACGAACUGUGCGAACGUUAUUCGGAAUCACUGGGCUUACAGGGUGCGUAGGCGGCUUUUCAAGUCAGGUGUGAAAGCCCCCGGCUCAACCGGGGAACUGCGCUUGAAACUGAAAGGCUCGAGUCAGCUAGAGGUACACGGAACUUCCAGUGGAGCGGUGAAAUGUGUUGAUAUUGGAAGGAACACCGGAGGCGAAAGCGGUGUACUGGGGCUGGUCUGACGCUGAGGCACGAAAGCCAGGGGAGCAAACAGG
rnacentral:rRNA from 1 species